rnacentral:rRNA from 1 species
AUUGAACGCUGGCGGCAGGCUUAACACAUGCAAGUCGAGCGGGGGAGGUUGCUUCGGUAACUGACCUAGCGGCGGACGGGUGAGUAAUGCUUAGGAAUCUGCCUAUUAGUGGGGGACAACAUUCCGAAAGGGAUGCUAAUACCGCAUACGCCCUACGGGGGAAAGCAGGGGAUCUUCGGACCUUGCGCUAAUAGAUGAGCCUAAGUCGGAUUAGCUAGUUGGUGGGGUAAAGGCCUACCAAGGCGACGAUCUGUAGCGGGUCUGAGGGGAUGAUCCGCCACCCUGGGACUGGGACACGGCCCAGACUCCUACGGGAGGCAGCAGUGGGGAAUAUUGGACAAUGGGCGGAAGCCUGAUCCAGCCAUGCCGCGUGUGUGAAGAAGGCCUUUUGGUUGUAAAGCACUUUAAGCGAGGAGGAGGCUCUUAAGGUUAAUACCCUUGAUGAGUGGACGUUACUCGCAGAAUAAGCACCGGCUAACUCUGUGCCAGCCGCCGCGGUAAAAC